rnacentral:rRNA from 1 species
UACGUAGGGUGCGAGCGUUAAUCGGAAUUACUGGGCGUAAAGCGUGCGCAGGCGGUUUUGUAAGCCAGAUGUGAAAUCCCCGGGCUUAACCUGGGAAUGGCAUUUGGGACUGCAAGGCUUGAGUGCGGCAGAGGAGACUGGAAUUCCUGGUGUAGCAGUGAAAUGCGUAGAUAUCAGGAGGAACACCGGUGGCGAAGGCGGCUCUCUGGACCGAGACUGACGCUGAGGCGCGAAAGCGUGGGGAGCAAACAGG